UGUAAAUCUGCGAUGCCAUCUCCCGACAAAUGGAUGUGACAGGCGGCCGUCGGAGACCGAGAAAACCUGCUCUUCUACACAAGAACCCACCAUUUUUAUUUCUCCAAACGAAAUUUCCUUUAAGGAUAUCUGUAAACUGCGAGCUUUAACACGAGGAGCGCAUUCAACAGUGCGCGGCGCCCGAGCUCGAGUAGCGGACCUGCUGCAAGCUGCGCUGUUAACCAAGGUGGAGGAGUGAGUGACUCCAUCGACUCCCGAGGACGACACGUCUCGUCUACAACAUAAUACUUAAACAGCGUUACCCAUCGAGGAUCAGGACAAUCGUCCGUUUUUGAGCAGUUUGCGAGAAAAUGUGAUUUUUUUUGUCUUUUCGUUUUUGUUUUUUACGCACAGAUUAAACGGAUGACGCGCAAUUCCAGCCGUGAACGCGCAUCGCGAGGCGCACGACUGAUAUCUUGAUUUCAAAGGAAGUUUUCAUUGGUGUAACUGUGCGUGUGUCUGCGGUCGCCUCAACUUUUACGUCCUUGCUUGGUGGAGCCAGAUGAGAAGGCAAGGGAACGGAGGUUGACUUAACAUGGCUGAGCUGCUGGGGCAUCAGGGGGCGCUGGCUGGAGCUCCCCGAAACGCCUGAGUCCCAGACCAGUUGAUUGUUUUGGGGGCUGGCAGUUGACCAGAGGCCGAUAAUGUCGAAGAGGGAGAAAUUCAACCCGGAUCCGUCCAUUCACAUAUCCAAGAUGAAUGUCAUCAUUCCGUUUUCAUCAGAUGUGCCCUGUGACAGCAACGGCCAGCGGAUGUGGUGGGCUUUCCUCGCCUCCUCUAUGGUCACUUUCUUCGGGGGUCUCUUCAUAAUCCUCCUGUGGAGAACUCUCAAAUACAUGUGGACUGUGUGUUGCCACUGUAAUGCCAAAAAGAAGGAUGUCCAUCGGAUCACCACAGGUGAUGGCAUCAUCAAGCGCGCCGGCAAGGAUGACCCGGCGGCCAGCGAGGUGGGCUGGAUGACUUCGGUCAAAGACUGGGCCGGAGUCAUGAUAUCCGCUCAAACACUAACGGGAAGAGUCCUGGUGGUGCUCGUAUUUGCUCUCAGCAUUGGAGCCCUUGUUAUAUACUUCAUAGAUUCUUCUGAUGAUAUUGAGUCCUGUCAGAACUUCUACAAAGACUUCACGUUGCAGAUUGACAUGGCUUUCAACGUGUUCUUCUUGCUGUACUUUGGCCUCCGCUUCAUUGCUGCGAAUGACAAGCUGUGGUUCUGGCUGGAGGUGAACUCGGUAGUGGACUUCUUCACGGUUCCGCCGGUGUUUGUGUCGGUGUAUCUGAACAGGAGCUGGCUCGGCUUGAGGUUUUUAAGGGCCUUAAGGUUGAUACAGUUCUCAGAAAUUUUACAGUUUUUGAAUAUACUAAAGACAAGCAACUCAAUAAAGCUGGUGAACCUGUGUUCAAUCUUCAUAAGCACAUGGCUAACUGCAGCAGGAUUUAUUCAUUUGGUGGAAAACUCAGGGGAUCCUUGGGAAAACUUCCAAAAUUCCCAGGCACUUUCCUACUGGGAAUGUGUCUACUUACUCAUGGUUACUAUGUCCACUGUUGGCUAUGGAGACGUUUAUGCAAAAACCACCCUGGGUCGCCUGUUUAUGGUCUUCUUCAUCCUCGGUGGUUUGGCCAUGUUUGCUCGCUACGUGCCAGAAAUUGCUGCUCUCAUCCUUAAUCGGAAGAAAUAUGGAGGGAGUUAUAACUCGACCAGAGGCAGAAAGCACAUCGUGGUCUGUGGUCAUAUAACACUUGAGAGUGUGUCCAACUUUCUAAAAGACUUCCUACACAAGGACAGGGAUGAUGUCAAUGUAGAAAUUGUUUUUCUCCAUAAUAUUUCCCCUAAUCUUGAGCUGGAAGCCUUGUUCAAGCGCCACUUCACUCAGGUGGAGUUUUACCAAGGAUCUGUCCUGAACCCACACGACCUGGCCAGAGUCAAGAUCGAAUCAGCUGAUGCCUGUUUGAUCUUAGCCAACAAAUACUGUGCAGACCCUGAUGCCGAGGAUGCAUCCAACAUCAUGAGAGUAAUAUCUAUCAAGAACUACCAUCCAAAGAUCAGAAUAAUCACUCAAAUGUUGCAGUACCACAAUAAGGCCCACCUUUUGAACAUCCCGAGCUGGAACUGGAAGGAAGGAGAUGAUGCUAUUUGCCUGGCAGAGCUAAAACUGGGGUUCAUCGCUCAGAGCUGCCUGGCUCAGGGCCUCUCCACCAUGCUGGCCAACCUUUUCUCCAUGAGGUCCUUCAUCAAGAUUGAGGAGGAUACUUGGCAGAAGUAUUACCUGGAAGGAGUAUCCAAUGAGAUGUACACUGAGUACUUGUCGAGUGCCUUUGUUGGGAUGUCCUUCCCAGUAAUUUGCGAACUCUGCUAUGUGAAGCUAAAGCUGCUACUGAUAGCCAUAGAGUACAAGUCUGAUCAAAGGGAAUGCAGCACACUAAUAAACCCUGGAAACCAUAUGAAAAUGCAGGAGGGGACAUUGGGCUUCUUCAUUGCCAGCGAUGCCAAAGAAGUAAAGAGGGCACUGUUUUACUGUAAAGCCUGCCAUGAUGAUAUUACUGAUCCCAAAAGGAUAAAGAAAUGUGGAUGCAAGAAAUUGAUAUAUUCCAAGAAGGCUGCCUACAAGAAAAUGAGACUGGCAUGUUGUUUUGAUUGCGGCCGCUCAGAGCGGGACUGCUCUUGCAUGCCAGUUAAUGUGCGUUGUAACAUGGACUCCCCUCAACGCGACAUCCCACUCUCUGCUGUCUCUGUUAAUGAUUGCUCAGCCACUUUACGUGCCUCUAAAAAUAGCUAUAAUGGAUAUAUCAAAUCAAUUGAAGAGGACCAACAGUCGGCGUUGUCACCUAAAAAAAAGCAACGCAACGGAGGCAUGAGAAAUUCUCCAAACUCCUCACCCAAGAUAAUGAGACAUGAUCCGCUCCUCAUCCCAGGGAACGAGCAGAUUGAGAGCAUGGACGACAAUGUAAAGAAAUACGACUCCACAGGGAUGUUUCACUGGUGCCCGUCCAAAGACAUCGAAAAGGUCAUCUUGACCCGGAGCGAGGCAGCCAUGACUGUUCUGAGCGGCCAUGUGGUUGUGUGUAUAUUUGGAGACGUGAAAUCGGCGUUGAUCGGUCUCCGAAACUUUGUUAUGCCUCUGAGAGCGAGCAACUUUCACUACCAUGAGCUAAAGCACAUCGUAUUUGUUGGCUCACUUGAGUAUCUUAAGCGGGAGUGGGAGACUCUACACAAUUUUCCAAAGGUCUCCAUUUUACCUGGCACACCGUUGAGCCGGGCAGAUCUGAGGGCUGUCAACAUCAACCUCUGCGACAUGUGUGUCAUUCUGUCAGCCAAUCAGAACAAUAUUGACGAUGCAUCACUGCAGGACAAAGAAUGCAUUUUGGCGUCACUCAACAUCAAAUCCAUGCUGUUUGACGACAGCAUCGGGGUCUUGCAGGCUAAUUCCCAAGGCUUUACACCACCAGGAAUGGAUAGAUCCUCUCCUGAAAACAGCCCAGUCCAUGGAUUAGUGAGGCAGACUUCUGUCACAACUGGAGCAAAUAUUCCCAUCAUAACUGAACUAGCACCAUUAGCAAAGCCAGGCAAAAAACUGCCUGUGAUUUCAUUCAGUCAGGAUACAAGCAGUGGGACCAGCAUACAAAUAAUAACUGAGCUGGUGAAUGAUUCAAAUGUUCAGUUCCUGGACCAAGAUGAUGAUGACGACCCUGACACAGAGUUAUACCUGACUCAGCCUUUUGCCUGUGGGACAGCCUUUGCCGUCAGUGUGCUGGAUUCCUUAAUGAGUGCUACAUACUUCAAUGACAAUAUCCUCACCUUGAUCCGGACAUUGGUAACAGGCGGGGCAACGCCGGAGCUGGAGGGGCUGCUGGCAGAGGAGAAUGCGCUACGUGGCGGCUACAGCACACCCCAGACGCUGGCAAACAGGGACAGGUGUCGUGUGGCACAGCUGGCCUUGUACGACGGGCCCUUUGCCGACCUCGGGGAUGGUGGUUGUUAUGGUGACCUGUUUUGUAAAGCCCUGAAAACAUACAACAUGUUGUGCUUUGGCAUCUAUCGGUUGCGAGACGCACAUCUUAACGCACAAAGCCAAUGUACCAAACGGUAUGUUAUAACCAAUCCACCAUAUGCGUUUGAGCUGGUGCCCUCAGACCUGAUAUUCUGCCUGAUGCAGUUUGACCACAACGCUGGCCAGUCUCGAACCAGCCUCUCCCACUCUUCCCAUUCAUCCCAUUCCUCCAGCAAAAAGAGCUCCUCUGUCCACUCUAUCCCAGCGACCAACCGCACCAACCGCGCCAAAAGCAGGGACUCACGAGACAGACAAAACUGCUGAAUGAACACUACAAGCUUUCUAUGUGCAACAAGGAUGAAUAGAGUGGGCCAAGAAAAGACAUGGUUUACAGAUGAGCCAGAGAAUACCCACCUGAGGACCAUGCAGAUCAAGCCUGUGAAUAAGCUCGCCAUCAACCAAGUCAGUCAGAAUAAAUCCACAAGCAGCUUGAUUCCACCCAUCAGAGAAGCAGAAGAUGAGUGCUGAGCUCUGGACACACACUGACACCUGGACUCCCAGAAGACUCAUCGUGUAGUUGUCAGACUAGGAUUCAGGUGAUCUUCUCAUCUGCAAACAUUAAUCAUUAAUUGACGAAGAUGAGACAAACACAAACUGCUUUCCUCACUCACCCCUGCAGCUUAUUGUACAAGCAGAUUUAUUAUCAUACAUAAAAUAUACAUGAAGACAAUCAUAGUCAAAUGUUGCAACCCCUCAACUAUUAGUUUGCAUAGCUAAUCUUUAUUGGUGACCAGACUCCAUGACUUUUUGUUCUAUUUUGGGGAAUGAGUUUCACUUGAAGGAGCAAUGUAAAAAUAACCAAAACUACUUAAUGAGGUGAUUAUUAUAACUGUUUUGCUAUUGUAAAGGUUGCAUUUUUAACUGCUGAUGAACAACUACUACUGCAUUGACUUAACCCAGUGUUGCAGUUAUUCUGUACAGUAUGUUAAGAUGUGUAUUUGACAUCGACCUGUGAUCCCACAGCAAUGGCAUUGUUAGUGACUGACUCAGUGAUUCCUUUGCCAUUUGGAGCUAAUUCACAACAUUUGUGACAGUUAGGAUGGCCAGUGUCCAUGUGUAAAUGGCAUUUGGCUCCAGCCUUAUCUUUAUCCAUUUAUAUUUGUCUUAUUUUUUGCCUUUUUGAGUCGUUUGUUAUAAGUUAUUUCAUGUAGCAAUUUGGUUGCAAUGUCCAAAACCCCAGAAAUCGUAUUAAGUACAGCUUUUAAGUAUCUGCAAAGUUUCUCCAGGGGUAAAAUGUUAGGAAUACUCUUUAUCUUUUUGACAAUAGCCAAAUAUGAUAGAGCUGUUUUUUUGUCGACCAACAAAAUCUGAUUUAUAAUAACAAUAUACAGUUUAUAAUACAGUGACAGAGAUAUUUAUUUACCUAAGACAACAUAGACAGCACAGCUAAAUACUAUGGUAUAGCAUGGCACCAUAUAAUAACAAUGUAGAUUGAAUGUAAAAGCCUCAUAUCGUAUAAAGUGGGCAUCUUUAAGUCCUUCUUUGGCUGGAAGCACUGCCUGACACAAGAUUGUCUUGGAGGCCAUUAAGCACUCUUAUGUUCUCCAUGACCAAUCUUAAUGCCAUAGUUAUACAUGUUCAAGCUUUUUGUAGAUACAUGAGAAACAGCUCUAUCAUAAAAUGUUAUUUUGGCUAUUUAUGUGUUCAUCUUGGUGAUCAAUUAUAUCUGAUUCAUUCAUAAAACAAACACCUAAUGAAGUACAGAUCAUUUGUAAAUGCAUGAGUCCAGAAUGCAGAGGUUAUGAAUCUUAUUUAAAUUAUAAAACAUAGCUAUAUUGGCACUCUUGUCACUUUAGUUCAGAAUCAAUGAAGGGGGAAGAAAGAUAUAAAAUAAAACGCAAGCCUAAUCCACAGAGGAUGUGUCACAGUCUAGGCUAGGACUCAUGUUGGAUGAGAAAAGAAAGAGGAUGUGACAUUUUUACAGGCACAGAGAACAUUUAAACCAUCCAUUCCUCAGAGCCAGCAAGGUGCCAGGCAGUGCUGAAGCCAACGGAGGACUCAGAAGACCCACUGUAGCGAAAAGAGGCUAGUUUAGCUGAAUUUAAGACACGUCACUUCUGCUCUGUGACUGAGAAAUGCACCUUCCUCUUUACUCCGAGACAAAUGGUUUUAAAUACUUUGAAUUUCUUAAUACAAGGCUGUGAUUCCCUGGAGAUAAAUGGAACUGUAGUAAAUAAUUUGAAGUCUUAAAACUAUUUUGAAAUGAUCCAUCUUCAAUAGCAGAGCCUGAUAGCAAUUCAUUUUAUGUACUCUUCAAAGAAAUCUGUAAAGCUUAAUGUAAACUAUUUCUUUCUAGUGUGUUCUUGUUUGACUGUACCUGUGGGGUUGAGAGAAAUUCGGCAUUACGGUCUAGUUUGUAUUGUUUCGUGAAUUUCUUUUUAGCACAUUGACUUGUGGAUACAAUGCGACAGUGCUAAGUUGAUAUUUCUGACUAUGUCAUAAUAAUACCCAAUAAUAAAUACAGUUUAUUGUCUUGUAUAAAUAGGCUUGUACAUAAAAUUGUACAUGAUUUCAUUUUGUAUUUUCACAAAUUAAAAGCUGAUGUAUUGUGUUCUA